rnacentral:tmRNA from 1 species
GGGGGCGACCUGGCUUCGACGCGGGUCGUGAAGGACCUCAGGGCAUGCCGAGGACCAGUCACCUCGUAAAUCCAUCUGGAACACUACAAACGCGAACGACGAGCGUUUUGCUCUAGCCGCUUAAUACCGGUUAGACGCUGCACUAGCUGGCCCCUGGGCUAGGUCGGGCAACCGACAGCAGCGCCAUUUACAGAGGCUGGAUGCCGGUGGAGUCAUGACGGCGGCAUCGAGAUCCAGUGACUGGCUGCGCGUCGGCCUGCCGAUCGGCUAAGCGCGCAGUGAGACUCAAAUAGAACGGCUACGCAUGUAGAACUGGGUCUGGAUCAUUCGCGGACGCGGGUUCAAUUCCCGCCGCCUCCACCA